rnacentral:rRNA from 1 species
GACGAACGCGGCGGCGUGCUUACACAUGCAAGUCACGGGGGCCCGCAAGGGUAACCGGCGAACGGGUGCGUAACACGUGAGCGACCUUGCCUCGUGGUGGGGGAUAGCCGGCCCAACGGCCGGGUAAUACCGCAUAGGGUACUUCUCUCGCAUGGGAGAGGUAGCAAAGCUGAGUCGUAAGACUUGGCGCCACAGGGGGGGCUCGCGGCCUAUCAGCUAGUUGGGGGGGUAAUGGCCCACCAAGGCGACGACGGGUAGCUGGUCUGAGAGGAUGGCCAGCCACAUUGGGACUGAGAGACGGCCCAGACUCCUACGGGAGGCAGCAGUGGGGAAUCUUGCGCAAUGGCCGAAAGGCUGACGCAGCGACGCCGCGUGGGGGAGGAAGGCCUUCGGGUUGUAAACCCCUGUUGCCCGGGACGAAUGUGCACUAUAGAGUGCAUUGACGAUACCGGGUGAGGAAGCACCGGCUAACUCCGUGCCAGCAGCCGCGGUAAUACGGAGGGUGCAAGCGUUGUCCGGAAUCACUGGGCGUAAAGGGCGCGUAGGCGGCUCAUGAAGGCUGUGGUGAAAGUCCGGGGCUCAACCUCGGAUCGGCCGUGGCGACUCGUGGGCUGGAGCACUGUAGAGGCGGGUGGAAUUCCGGGUGUAGCGGUGGAAUGCGUAGAGAUCCGGAAGAACACCAGUGGCGAAGGCGGCCCGCUGGGCAGUGGCUGACGCUGAGG